GGCUGGCUCUUGGUUACCUAGGAGAUGCUUCGCAAUGCAAAUCCAGGGCCGCGGUGCAGACCGCCAGGCUCCUGUGCUGUGUGGGAGGAGUCAAUCUGGUUGUGUGUUGACAUCAGCGAAGUCAGCUCUGAGGAUUUGGCUGUGGUGGACCAGGCCGAGGACUUAGCUUUCAUGGUAGUGGAGAAGAGCUCAGAGCCAGUUGAUAAUACUGUAAACAAGCAAGUAAGCAAAUAGAACUUCAAAUAGUAAUAUUUAGUUAGAUUUAACAGCAACAACACUAACCCAACGCCAGCGAGAGGGGAGACCCUUGGAUGUUUAUAAACAGAAUGGAAAAAGAAAGAAGGGGCGAGGCAGCCUGCUGCUCUCAGGGCUCCUCUCUCUCUCUCUCUCUCUCUCUCUCUCUCUCUCUCUCUCUCCCUCUCUCUCUCUCUUUCUCUCUCUCCUUUUUUUUUCUUUGCAAAGUAUGCUUCUCAUUAUCAGGGAGAAAGGCAGGCCACACACGGACAGAAGAGAAACUAUGUGGGCAGAAAUGCCACUAGGGGUGCCUGUGAACCCAUCUUCUGAAUCUCAGACAUUCUGUUACUUUUAUAUUUAAAUGUAUCAUUAUUAUUGUUAUUAUUAUCAUUAUUUUUUUUCAAUCCACCCAGUCACAGUGUGUGGGAGCUAGCUUGCUUUGCCCCUGCGACGCCCAGCAGAGUGUGGCUUUCUCAUGACUCCAGGACAAGAUAUGGGUGGUUUCAGGUUUGAUUCUUUUUCUGAGAUGUUUUUUAUACCUAUUCUAUGGGGUGUGUAUCCAACUAGAAUUUGGGCACUGCUAUCAAUGAGGCUUUCUUUGCUGGAGCAUGCACUGAAGCAAAGUACAGAGGCACCUGGCCACCAUCCCAUGGCCCUGAGCUCGCCAUCCCCACUAUCAGUGGGGAAACUGAGGCUCAGAGAAAGCAAGCUGUUUGCUCAGGCUGUUGGCUGUUAUCAGGGUGAAGCCGUUUCCAAACUUUAGUUUCCCAAGUUUAACUUGAAUUCUUUUCCUCGCACCGCAGCUGCAGCCAAAAAUAAUCCCUUUUCUUGGAAAAUGCCUGCUUCUAGACUCUCCCAGGCAUUAUGAGGACCAAGAUAGCUGUAUUCGCACCCCGUCUCUAACAUGAGACCAGGCUCUUUCAGCAGCUUGUAAAGGAGACCCAUAUAAAAAUAUCUGAGCUUCUCGUCUCCCUCACAUUCUCUUAGUCAACCAUGCGUUUUCAUUGUUAAGAAAACUCGAAUGUCGUAAAAACAAUCUGGCAUGAAAAUAAUCCUUGAGAGCUGGUUUGAGGUGGAAAGGCCAAGUCAUCACUCCCAAAGCACUGCCUCUGGGGGCGUUCACCUAGCAAUACUCUCUUUCCUGACCUCCUUUGACUAGAAUGUUCUUCCAUCCAUUCCCCCAUGGCCACAGUGGCCCUUUAAGGACAGAGUUCACUGUUUCUGUCACAAGCAUCUCUCUCUCUCUCUCUCUCUCUCUCUCUCUCUCUCUCUCUCUCUCUCUCACACACACACACACACACACACACACACACAUACACACCGCCCUCUCUCUCCUGUCUCAGCUGUAAAAAUGCGCUUCAGGCAAAAACUUGGCAUAAGAGGUCUCAUUUUGCUAAGGAUCUCUCUCUCUCUCUCUCUCUCUCUCUCUCUCUCUCUCUCCCUCUCCCUUUCCCCCUCCCCCUCUCCCUCUCCCUCUCUCUCAUAAAAAGGUCAAGAAUUUCCUAUUGGAACCCAUAGGUUUUGCCUCAUUCUCCCAUCACUGUUCUAUCCAGCCUCUUCUUAAGCAGUUAUUUGGGGGCAAAGCUACAGUGGCUCUCAGGGAAGACACAUCUUCAUCUUCCCUGCAACAAACACUCCCCGAGAGCCUAUUGGGUAUCAGACCCUGUCCUGGCGAGAACAAUGCUGGACAAGCCCAGCUUGGUUCUGGGUUUCAUGGUGUACGGGGACCAGUGCCCAGGCACUGUGGGCAUUAGGAACUGCAGUGGAACUUUCUGCAGGCAUUGGGAGCACACUGAAGGCUGUAGGCACCGAGGCUCAAUAGAAUGGCCUAGGAAGGCCUUCCAGAAACUGGAUGAGGCUGAAGAGAAGCCACGUGAUUAGUCUAGGGCGGAGAGACCUAAGGAAGAAGGAGUAGCAUCUAUGAAGGCUACGAGGAAUGAGUCGUGUUGGAAGUGUAUAAACAAACUCUCCUGUCCAGACUGCCUCAUUUCUAGACCAAGUGGUGUGCGGACAGGGUUGAUAAGAGAUUACAUCUGAAUCCUGGGGUUGGCGCAUGCGCGUAAAGCAUUCAAAGGUCCAGGUAUAGGGGCUUCUAGUCUCCUCCGGUACGUCUCCGGCUAGCAGUCAUGUUCUGGCGUGCACCUUUUCGUUGUUCUUUUGAGUAGCAUGGGGAGGUGCAGAAAAUGUCUAGAAGAGUGUGAAAUGAUGCAGCCAUCAGCUGGGAAGGUCUUUCUGGACUUGGAAGGAAAAGGAUGCUAGGGAAGCAAGCCAGGGAGCAAGGAGACCAGCUAAGGGGCUGUUGUGGGUAUUUAUGUGUUAGCACUGGGUGAGGGAGCAGGCUGGAACAAGAGGUAGUAAUGAAAACAGAAGAUGGGGUGAACUAAAAAGAAGAGAAGAGGGAAGGCUAAGAGGGAUGUCCAAAGUGUCCUUAUGUAGUCGUGGUUAAACGUGGUGCCGUGAUGGGAUGGAAAGAGAAGGGAGUAAGGCACGCUAAGAAUGAGUCUGGCUAGGUCUCCGGGUUCCCCGAUGUUGAAUGGCAUGAAGAGCAGUUUGCCUGUGUGUAUCUGUAAUUCUAGGUAUUCAGGAGGCCGGUUGCAAGUUUGAGGACACCGUGGGCUUAGUGAACUCUAUCUCAAAGUAACAUUUAAGGAGGCCUGGGAUGUAGCUCACUGGCCAAGUGCUGGCUCACAUGUGUGGGGUCCAUCGGUUUCAGCUCUGGGCAGAAACAGAGUUGGGGGAGGGACAGAGACAGAAAAGACAGAAGCAACCCACAUACAGGGACAGAGACAGAAUCAGUUUGUCCUGAACAUUUUAGGUUCGGGGUAUAUAAUGAAGCUGGGGUCCAGACCUAGUCCUAAAAUAAGAGAACACACACACACACACACACACACACACACACACACACACACACACACACGUUACUUUCCAUCACCAUCGUCGGGGUGCUUUGUCGGCUUAUAGUUUUCAAAACCUACUUGAGCAAGUGAACUUAGAUGCUUUAACCUCCCUUAUUACCCACCACCUACCAGAGGUAGUGGGAAGGAAAGGUUAAUAGGGCAAAGGUUAAUAGGACAGGAUUCCACCUGUCUCGACUUAGUUCUCUGGGGGGUGAAUCCAAUCUGAGUUGUCCAGAUAUCAGCAGUUCAGGUCACAGAAUCAGCAUCGGCAUCAGCAGCUCUCUCCACUCACAAACGCCACUCAUAAAUCAGCAAGGGCAGUUCAAUCUAGAAGAAACCUCAAAGCUGCCAAUAGGUCUGGGGAAGCAGCAAGAAGCCGCCAGCACACCACCAGAAGUUCUUUGGCAGCUUCCAGAAAAACACAGCAUGUCUGCUCUCAGCAAAACAUCCUCUCAGAAGACAAUUUCCAGGAAUACAUCACAUGACACAACUGGGUCUCCAAAGAAGCCAGAAAUUUCCACUUCAGUGUUUCAAUAAAAGUGAGGCACCACUGAUGUUGGGGACCAUUGGCUGUAUGGUGUCCUGAACAUGUCAGGCUAGUACAAAGAUGAGCUGGUCGUGUAGUCACAGUAGGAAGGACCUCUGACCUGUUUGACACUCGGGGAUUGGAGGGCCAUGUAGAAAUUGCUGUGUCAAAGAAUGGUCAUGAGCCCGAGUGAAGCCUUCAGAGGACACCACCUUCUGAAUCAGGUAAAGACCGGGCUCCGAGAGGCUCUGACCUCCAUCCCACAGCCCUGGUUUUUUCCAGUACCCAUUGUCACUUUCUGCUGAGCGAUUGGAAGGCCUGGUCUAGAAGGUCUUCUCCUAGCCUGACCCUUGGACUGAACCAUCAGCCCAGCGUCGAGGCCUCAGCCUGACUGGCAAGAGCAGCCCUGGGUGAAGUGCAGUGGGCAAACAGGGAGCUCACAGAACCAAACAAGCUUCCGUCCAAGCCUCCGUGAGUCUUAGGUCAACUCAGAACCGAGUCAUGGUCAUGACUCAACAAAACCCACUUUGGAAUCUGGACGUUCAAGAGAGGAGCUUCCAGCACCUUAUAAAUAUUAAUUAAAAGACUGCAUCCUGAAGGGCUGGGGUAAUUACAAAAGAGCUUCCCCGGGCCCGCUCCAGUGGCUUCAGAGAGUUCUACUUGGGCCAGUGGUAACAAUAGCAAGGUGCCGUCUGAAGAGCAGCAGCGCAGAAGGCUGGGCGGGCUCCGGGUGCUCCCUCUGCUAGGUGACACGUGGGACAGUCAACAGUCAUCUUCUGCACUUUUCAGAUGGGAUUCUAAGAUCCAGAGCUCUUCUCUGGGCUGGAAACCAAUAGAACACGGACUCCAAUCCAGAUGCUUGGAAUACUACUGACCCAUGCCAUCGCCACAUAAUUACGGUUUAUAACCACGUACUUCUUUAUGGUUUGCCGAGCAUUUAAGCAUGUGCCCUCGACUUGCUCAUCGCCAUCCCUGGCCUAGCAGGAAGCAACGCUUCUACAUUAUAGAGGAGGGCCUAAGGAAGAGCGCACGCGGCUCGCUCAAGUCCUUGUGCAAGCCAGAGUAGCUCACAUCCGUACGGUGGUUUGUGGUUUAUGGCAUGUCUUCUGAUAUUGAGUAUCUCGAUGGCUGUGUGAGCUAAGAAGGCCUGCUGUUAUUAUUAUUAUUUUUUUUUAAUUUCCAUUGUUGUUCCUAGUUCUCCUCUUACAGGUGAGGACUGUAAGAAACAGACUGUUAAGAAAAUAGAGUCAGGAACCGUGACUGUGAGGCAGCUAAGCACUGUAUAGGUAGCCAAUGACAAAGCUUGUUCAUUCAUUCAUUCAUUCAUUCAUUCAUUCAUCCAGUAACUCGUGCACUCAUUCAAUAGAUGUUUGCAGAAUACUCACUGUGGGCCUGCGACUUCCCUGAGCACAGGGAAUAUAGCAUCGGGCAAACAGAUCUUUGCUUCUUAUCAAAUACAUAUUCUUCUUGUGUGAAUGGACCCCCACCCCCCAAUAAACAAGAAAGCAUGUGACCUUGUAUUGCCCUGUAAUGUUUCAGUCAGUGAUGGACUGUAUCUGCCCCAUACGAUUAUACUGGCCAGCGAUAUCUUAGCUUGCACGUAUUCUUUACGAUGCUUGCCCAAAGAGAGAUUUGCUGACAGGGAUGGCAGUGUAGCUCCGGGAUAGGAUUUGUCUAGCGUGCGCAAGACUCUGGAUUCUAUUCCGAGUGGAGCCAAAAAAAGAAAAGUCGUCCAACACGUUUCUCACAAUGCAUUCCCAUCUUUAAGCUUUAUGACCGUGUGCUGUGCCAGAUAUAUAAAAAAAAAAAAAAAAAAAAAGAAUAAUAAACCCGGCAAGGCGAUAGAGAGGUGAGAGGUGUCGGUUUGAAUGUAAGGGGCAGCCCUAUUGUCCUGUUGUCAUCAUAAGGAGGAGUGAUUGUAGAAUAAAGUCAACCAAGAGGGGUUACUUUGGGUCUUGAAGGUCAAGUAGACCUUGGUGGCAAGCCACACAGAAUGACGAGCGUGACACAUUUCCGGUGACAAGGUCCUGCUGUGUCUUGACAGUUCAGAUGCACCCAGAACUUUUAAGUGGGGCUUCUUCCCUAAGACCAUGAGACACAGGAGUUGGGGACAUUGAAGCCAGAAGUUGCCUGACCAGUUCACCAUCUUGAACUGUUGACGGUUUAGAGUGUGAAUGUGCCACUGCGUUCCUGGUCUGACUUCAAACAGAGGUGCUCUGCGUGGAGCUCUGCGGGGAGGGCAGGAGGCUGCCAGAUGAGACGUCUGACAGGAGUGUGGCCUGGAUUUCCUUCUCACAGUUGACAAAGGAGGACAAGUGGCCGACACGUUUCUCAGGACACACUCUUGUCAUUAAGCUGCAUCCAGUCAAAAGAUUUCAUAAAAUGCGAUUUAACCACAAUACCUGUUUUCUUGGCCCUGCUUCCCACCACGCUCCUCCCUCUGAUUCAAACGAUCAUUUAUUUUUAAUUCUUCAAGUUAGCAUUCCAAGGAUUAGAGGACACUUUGGCAUUGCACACAACGUGUGUUUUGGUAGACCUUUUCUCUUCCCUUCCCUUCCUAGCCCUCACAUUUACUGAUCCAUCCACCCGUCCAUACAGCCACACAUUUCUUUUCUUCUUUCCUUCCUUCUUUCCUUCCUUCCUCCUUCCUUUUCUUUCUUUCUUUUUUCCUUUCUUUCUUAUUUCUUUCUUCUUUUCUUUCUCUCUCUCUCUCUCCUCCCUCCCCCUCCCCCUUCUUCCCUCUUUCUUCCUUCCUUCCUUCCUGCCUGCCUGCCUGCCUGUCUGCCUGCCUUCUUUUCUUCCUUCCUUCCUUCUUUCUUUAAGUCUUAGGCCUUGAUUUGGGAGUAGUAUGUCUUAAAUGUUAUCUGGUAUUAUCUGGACACAUCCGAUGGCAGUCCACAGUCUGGCAGCUAAUCAUUCAUAGGUGGAGACUUUCAGGUGUUUUGGGGGCAUCUAGUAGAAAAAGAUUUUUAAAAUUUUCAGUUGUUUUAGGGUUUCAAAUGGUGUUGCAUGCUUAUUUCUGACUAGACAUCAUUCCUAGACUGGCUAAGUUUUUAGUGAUUGAUUAUUUGAUUUGGGUCUGCUUACCUCAGGCUAUCCCUGCACUAAAGGGUUCCCAGCAAAGCUUGGGUGUUGUCGGAUAGUCUGCCAUCCACCCUGAUAGUCACAGGACUGCUUGAAUUGUUAGUUGUGAGCCUUGGUAACUCGUGGUUUAAUUUGGGUUUUGUUAAAGAGGAGAUUUAACCCAUGCCAGAGCCACGUGAGGCUACAACACUUGUUUCAUCGCCCACAGGGGUGGGAGCUAGUCAACACUGGUGGGUUGUUCUCCUAUGACAGGUGCCCUAAGCUUCUGCAAUCCCACCCAGGCCUGCUUUUUUGUCCUGUUUUGAGGUCUUCCUUGUCCACGGUGAUAAAUUAUUACCGUCUUCCUGGUCACGCUUGGCUUUGCUGCAAAGAUCCCCCUCUUAAGGACCGUUACUACUUUCUGGGUCCUCAUGUGGUCCCAGGUGUGUGGAUCACACAUCGUUAAUGAUGUCAGUCAUAACAGUGCUAGCCCAUUUAUAUUUCAGUACUUUAAUUGCUAGCUGUUUGUCCUUCUGUCUGUCCUGAUCAAUUUGUGACAGUCUCUGUACGGUUCUGCAGAUGCCUCUUUCUUGGGUGCUUUGUUCGUUAAUGGACUUAUAUUAGCUAGGACUGCUAGGAUUAUCCUUUUAGCUCCUGGUCUGUAGAACUACAUGGAUCUGCCGGACAAGCCUGUGUGCCCCAAAUGUUUGCACUUCUGUGUCCUUUCCCUUUCCCUGCCGGCUCCUGCCAAUCUCCUCCUUUUUCUUUCUAAAAGCCUGAUUUUUAUUCAUUUUAUAUAACGAGUGUGCACUACCGGAGUGUGCCUGAGGUUUUUGAGUGGUUUAUGUAAGCUACCCUGUGCGGCUGGGAAUCAGACCCGGGUCCUCUGCAAGGUCAAUACGGAUCCCCUAACCACUGAGCCAUCUCACCAGCUGACUUCUUCAACCUUCGGGAUGAACAUCACCUUCUGGGUUGGAGGUUUUCUGUCAUGCUGUACCCUUUCUCUCCCAGACUUGCUCUCUUUUGUCACCUUGCUUUCCUCUAUUCAAAGCCCUUCCAUCAUCCAAAAGAUGAUAUUUUGUGGAUGCCCUUGUUUUCCACAAACAAGGUCUUCCAGUUAGGAGGUAAAAGUCUCAACAAAAAGUCCUUCAUGUUGACACAACUGGUCAUAGCAAGUUGUCCAUAAGGACUGUUGGAGAGAGGGUUAGCAGAUCAGCAGCCCUUGUAUCUCUCAUAUCCUUCUGUCUCUCCUCUCUCCCCUCUCUCCAUCCCUCAUCCUCAGAGCCAGAGACUGACUGAAGAGGAUAGUUUUGCCAACAACGGAACACUUAAGAUUUUAAAUAUCUAUUUUGGGGUCGUGGGGCCUGCCAGGCACACGUGUGGAGCUCUCAGGACAACCUGCUAAAGUAGGUUCUUUCCUUUCUCCGUACAGCUCUUGGGAAUGGAAUUCAAGUGAUCAGCCUUGGUGUCUUUACCACGACGCCAUCUUGGCAACCUUUUUUUUUUUUUUUUUUUUUUUUUGGUUCUUUUUUUCGGAGCUGGGGACCGAACCCAGGGCCUUGCGCUUCCUAGGUAAGCGCUCUACCACUGAGCUAAAUCCCUAGCCCCCCCUUGGCAACCUUUUACAAGGCUUUGUGCAAUUUGUCCGUGCCGAGGACAAAACCAAGAGCCUUGUGCACACGAGACGUGUUGCCCCACUGAGUCACAUCCAGGCUCCUUUGUGAAAGUGUCCUUGCAGCCAACUGUGGUUUCCUCUUAUCUGUCUUCCUGUGGAUCCCUGGGAGAACGUCUUACUUUUCUAACCCUGUCACCCCUUGCACAUGCCCUGGGAUAAAUGAUGCUUAUUUCCUAGAACUGCUGUGAGAGACAGGGCAGGCUCAAAAGGGUUACCGUUAGCCUCUUGGAACAUAGUAAGUGCUAGAUCAAACCGACCAGCCUUCAUGGUUCCCUGCCCAGCGCCACCCCCACCCUCUUCCCCCUCUAAGUGGGAGCUAGAAGAAAGCACGCCAAUCACAAGAUAAUUUAUGCAGCAUAUGCCUUUAUUACCCCAUGCUGGGCUGGGGCUCCUACUGUCCAAUGAAGGUCAAAAGGAGGGAUGGCUUUUAUCUCCUCAGCAGCUCUGGAGAGACAGCAGGAGGGGCCGGAGCUCACCAAAGCUUCCUCUAGAAAACAAACAAGAGUCUGCAUCGCAGCUCAAUAGCUCUCCUCAUUCGAAGCUAUAAAUGGCCCAGAGCAGCAGGGCUUUUGCCCUGCGACUGGAGGGAGCGAAUGCACCAUUGAAUGGAGAGGGUGACCCCUAACUGGCAGAGGGGUUCCCGCUGGGCACAGGCCAGGCCCGCUGCCUAGCAGAGAAUCCAGAGGCCACGUGUCAUUAGUCAGUGUCUUACAGCAAUCUUUUCAAAGCUAUUGAUAAAGGGGGAAGAGGAAGGAGGCUUUUCUGUUUCUAAUCCCCCCAAUUUUCUUCUCUCUUUCUUCUAUUUUCCUGCCUGUCACAACUGUCAGCUCGCGCUCUCUCUCUCUCUCUCUCUCUCUCUCUCUCUCUCUCUCUCUCUCCCUCCCUCCCUCCCU